GACGAACGCUGGCGGCGUGCCUAAUACAUGCAAGUAGAACGCACAGUUUAUACCGUAGCUUGCUACACCACAGACUGUGAGUUGCGAACGGGUGAGUAACGCGUAGGUAACCUGCCUGGUAGCGGGGGAUAACUAUUGGAAACGAUAGCUAAUACCGCAUAAUAUUAAUUAUUGCAUGAUAAUUAAUUGAAAGGUGCAAUUGCACCACUACCAGAUGGACCUGCGUUGUAUUAGCUAGUAGGUGAGGUAACGGCUCACCUAGGCGACGAUACAUAGCCGACCUGAGAGGGUGAUCGGCCACACUGGGACUGAGACACGGCCCAGACUCCUACGGGAGGCAGCAGUAGGGAAUCUUCGGCAAUGGACGAAAGUCUGACCGAGCAACGCCGCGUGAGUGAAGAAGGUUUUCGGAUCGUAAAGCUCUGUUGUAAGAGAAGAACGGGUGUGGGAGUGGAAAGUUCACACUGUGACGGUAUCUUACCAGAAAGGGACGGCUAACUACGUG
rnacentral:rRNA from 1 species